UACAGAGGUCCCGAGCGUUGUUCGGAUUCACUGGGCGUAAAGGGUGCGUAGGUGGUGAGGUAAGUCGGAUGUGAAAUCUCCGGGCUCAACCCGGAAAUGGCAUUGGAAACUACCUUGCUGGAGGAUUUGAGGGGGGAUUGGAAUACUUGGUGUAGCAGUGAAAUGCGUAGAUAUCAAGUGGAACACCAGUGGCGAAGGCGAAUCCCUGGACACAUAUUGACGCUGAGGUGCGAAAGCGUGGGGAGCAAACAGG
rnacentral:rRNA from 1 species